UACGUAGGUGGCAAGCGUUGUCCGGAUUUACUGGGCGUAAAGAGCGCGCAGGCGGUUGGAUAAGUCGAAUGUGAAAGCCCCCGGCUUAACUGGGGAGGGUCAUUCGAUACUGUUCAACUUGAAGGCAGGAGAGGGCAGCAGAAUUCCCGGUGUAGUGGUGAAAUGCGUAGAUAUCAGGAGGAACACCGGUGGCGAAGGCGGAUCUCUGGGCCUUACCUGACGCUCAGGCGCGAAAGCUAGGGGAGCGAACAGG
rnacentral:rRNA from 1 species